UACGUAGGGACCAAGCGUUGUUCGGAUUUACUGGGCGUAAAGGGCGCGUAGGCGGCCAGCACAAGUCAGUUGUGAAAUCUCCGAGCUUAACUCGGAAAGGUCAACUGAUACUGUGCGGCUAGAGUGCGGAAGGGGCAACUGGAAUUCUCGGUGUAGCGGUGAAAUGCGUAGAUAUCGAGAGGAACACCUGCGGCGAAGGCGGGUUGCUGGGCUGACACUGACGCUGAGGCGCGAAAGCCAGGGGAGCGAACGGG
rnacentral:rRNA from 1 species